GACGAACGCUGGCGGCGUGCCUAAUACAUGCAAGUCGAACGCUGAAGAGAGGAGCUUGCUCUUCUUGGAUGAGUUGCGAACGGGUGAGUAACGCGUAGGUAACCUGCCUUGUAGCGGGGGAUAACUAUUGGAAACGAUAGCUAAUACCGCAUAACAAUGGAUGACACAUGUCAUUUAUUUGAAAGGGGCAAUUGUUCUACUACAAGAUGGACCUGCGUUGUAUUAGCUAGUAGGUGAGGUAAUGGCUCACCUAGGCGACGAUACAUAGCCGACCUGAGAGGGGGGUCCGCCCCCCUGGGAACGGGACACCGCCCAGACUCCUACGGGAAGGAACAAGAAGGGAUCCUUGGGCAAUGGGGGAAACCUUAACGAGCAAAGCCGCGUGAGGGGAGGAGGGUCUUGGGUCGGAAAGCUCGGUUGUAAGUGAAGAAAGAGAGUGAGAGUGGAAAGUUCACGCUGUGACGGUACCUUAUCAGAAAGGGACGGCUAACUACGUG
rnacentral:rRNA from 1 species